rnacentral:lncRNA from 1 species
CCAAAUCCCAAUUCUCUCUCAAACUCUCUCUCAAACGUUAGCCGCCACCCUCAACUACCACCUGAAAAUCUCCCAAAUCCAUGGCUUCGCAAGCUAUUGGAGGCCUGUAUCUACCAUGUGGUCGAGUAACAUGGUUUCGAGGCUAGACCUUGAAAUAGCUUGGCCCAAACUUUGGUCAAUCUUAGUUUUUAUGGCUAUCUCUGGUCAUCUUUGGCCUUGUUUCAGCCGAUCAUGGCUAUUCAAGCCUAGUUCUUGACUUAUCCUGCCUAGAUCAAGAUUGUCCAAGCCUUUCUCACCAUCUGGGUUUCUACUGAAACCCUAAUCUUUG